CAGAGACUGCAAGCGUUAUUCGGAUUCACUGGGCGUAAAGGGUGCGCAGGCGGCCGUGUGUGUGAGGCGUGAAAGCCCGGGGCUUAACCCCGGAAUUGCACCUCAAACUACAUGGCUAGAGCAUUGGAGAGGGUAGCAGAAUUCAUGGUGUAGCAGUGAAAUGCGUAGAUAUCAUGAGGAAUACCAGAGGCGAAGGCGGCUACCUGGACAAUUGCUGACGCUCAGGCACGAAAGCGUGGGGAGCAAAAGGGAUUAGAUACCCCUGUAGUCCACGCCCUAAACGGUGCACACUAGGUCUUGGCGGAUUCGAUCCCGCCAGGGCCCAAGCUAACGCGUUAAGUGUGCCGCCUGAGGACUACGGCCGCAAGGCUA
rnacentral:rRNA from 1 species